rnacentral:rRNA from 1 species
GUGCCAGCCGCCGCGGUAAUACGGAGGAUGCGAGCGUUAUCCGGAUUUAUUGGGUUUAAAGGGUCCGUAGGCGGACUGAUAAGUCAGCGGUGAAAUCCUACAGCUUAACUGUAGAACUGCCGUUGAUACUGUUAGUCUUGAAUAGUAUUGAAGUAGCUGGAAUGUGUAGUGUAGCGGUGAAAUGCAUAGAUAUUACACAGAACACCCAUUGCGAAGGCAGGUUACUAAAUACCGAUUGACGCUGAUGGACGAAAGCGUGGGGAGCGAACAGGAUUAGAAACCCUCGUAGUCC